AUGCAGAUAGGUUUCUUGUGCCGAUACUGUGGUGCUUCCUUUUGGUUUGCUGAGUGUUCUAAGUCAAGGUCUUCAUGGGUACAGCGUAAGAUGCUUUACAAUCAUUGUUGUAAAGGCGCAAAGGUCUAUAUCCCUCCCUUUAAGGACCCCCCGGCCUAUCUCCGGGAGCUCCUUCGGUUCGAUGGAACUUCUCGUGCUAAAAAAUUCAUCCGGGCUAUACGUGAGUAUAAUUGUAUGUUCGCUUUUACUUCAAUGGGUGCUACCAUUGAACGUUCGUUUGGUGGCAGCCGUGGACCUAAGGUAUUCAAGAUCAAUGGUCAGGUGUCUCAUCAUAUUGGUUCGUUGGUGCCGAGCGGUAAUGAUACUCCUAAGUUUGCCGAGUUGUACAUACAUGACCCUGCUAAUGAGAUUAGGCAUAGGAUGAAUGCCUUAAAUCCAGACGAUAAGCCCACCGGGGGUGUGGAUGAUAGCAUUGUGGUUGGUCUUAGAGAUAUGCUUAAUGAGUCUAAUCCAUUGGUUCAGACUUUUAGGGAGGCAAGUAGGAUGAUAGAGGGCCGUGGUGAUGAACCCAUCGAGGAUAUCUCGAUUUGUAUUAUUGGGCCUUCGGAGGGUGAUAGUCCACAGUUUAGCAUGCCUACAACCACCGGGCUUGCUGCUUUAGUCGUCGGUGGUGACUUUACGUUAGAGGCGUCUUCUCGGGAUAUUGUUGUUUGCAGUCGUUCCGAUGGUUUGCAGCGGAUAUCUUCUCUGAAUACCACGUUCAUGCCUCUGCAGUACCCGUUGCUUUUCCCUUAUGGUGAGCGAGGGUUCCAAAUAGAUGUUCCCCACUUAGCUGUUCCUGAAUAUGGUGAUGAUGAUGGGGAUGUAGGUUCUAAUCUUCCACCUGGGAGUCCAUCCGUUGAGGCGUCCUCUUCGUAUCCUUCUGGGGGUGGUGACUCAGAUACAAAUAGUCGGAAUAGGAUGACCAUGCAGGAUUACUAUCGUUUUAUGUGCCAUUACAAGGGUGAUCAGCCCAAUCCAUAUAUAUGUUAUGGUCUCCUCUCCUCUCAGUCGGUUGUCGAUGCGCGUGCGUGCAUUGAUAAGAAUAGACUAUGGUAUAUCAUAAGAAACCAGGACCUGUUUAGGUCAGAGCACAUGCAGGUUAUUGCCGAUGCGGUAGGUGAUGGGUGUGUCGAUGGUGAUGCUGUUGGGAAGAGGACCAUCGUGCCUUCCAGUCACAUGGGUGGUCGUCGUUACUUUAAUGAAAACUUCCAUGAUGGCCUUGCCGUUUGUCGAGUGCACGGUGCACCAGAUGUAUUUACCACUUUUACUUGCAAUCCUAAAUGGCCCGAGAUCAUUGCUGCGCUGGAGCCGGGGUAG
rnacentral:rRNA from 1 species